GAUGAAUGCUAGCGGCAGGCUUAAUACAUGCAAGUCGUGGGGCAGCGCAGGUAGCAAUACUGGGCGGCGACCGGCAAACGGGUGCGGAACACGUACACAACCUUCCGAGAAGUGGGGAAUAGCCCAGAGAAAUUUGGAUUAAUACCCCGUAACAUAACGAUGUGGCAUCACAUUGUUAUUAUAGCUUCGGCGCUUCUUGAUGGGUGUGCGGCUGAUUAGAUAGUUGGCGGGGUAACGGCCCACCAAGUCUACGAUCAGUAGCUGAUGUGAGAGCAUGAUCAGCCACACGGGCACUGAGACACGGGCCCGACUCCUACGGGAGGCAGCAGUAAGGAAUAUUGGUCAAUGGACGCAAGUCUGAACCAGCCAUGCCGCGUGAAGGAUUAAGGUCCUCUGGAUUGUAAACUUCUUUUAUCUGGGACGAAAAAAGGGAAUUCUUUCUCACUUGACGGUACCAGAUGAAUAAGCACCGGCUAACUCCGUGCCAGCCGCCGCAGUAAAAC
rnacentral:rRNA from 1 species